UAUUGAUUUAAUUGUUCGAAGAUGGAGCCCUGACUGAUGUUAUUGGUUCUAUGGCUCUCUGGGUUCGAAUAUGCUGUUGGGAAAAUUAGCAAGAUCCUUGGCAAUGUUGUUAAGGUUGAUCCAUCACUAUUGGUCAAGCUAGAGGUAAAUUUGCUAGUCUGUAUUGAGGUGGAUCUAAGUAAACCCUUAAGGCCUUUUGUUGAAGUUGAGUCGGUGGCUUAUAGUGUUAUCUAUGAGGGUAUUUCUAUGAUUUGCUUUGAGUGUGUGUGCUUUGGUCAUUCUAAAGAUAAAUGUCCAUCUAUUGUGGUCAUUCUAAUUCUUGUCCUUCAACUGAUGAGCCUAACAAUUCUUCUAAUGAUGUUGUUCCUAAUGAUAAUGUGGAGAUGUCUCAUGAGAUGGAUGCUUCCAAUGAGCAGCCUACUAUGAUUAAGGAUGACAUGGGGCCAUGGAUGUUGAUGAAUUAUAGAAACAAGAAGAAGAAUUCAAAAGUUGGUGAUAAGACUAAAAGCCCUUCUAAGGGAUACAGAUUCUCAGUCCUUCAAGAUAUUAAUGUUGCUGCUGAUAAUGAAGCUGAGACCAUUGCUGACAUUCAUACUAAUUCUUCUACUCCUCCCAUUGUCAAACUUUGGACCAACUUCCAAGAUAAGCUGAAGAAUGUCCCUAAACCCUCUGAGCCUGCAAAUUCCAAACCCUCUUCCUCUUUGUCCAAGAGUAGCAAACCCCCUUCAAAGACUGUUAAUCCUAUGCACCUUUCUGUGUGUACUUCAUAAACUCUUAUACCUGUGAACCGUGUGAGCAUCUUUGAUCAAAAUAAGGAAGAACUCUAGACUACAAUUUUAUUUAUUAGAUCACCUUCAUUUAAUAAGUGAAAAGAAUUGGCAAAUAUGAUCAAGAGACAUCAGAAGCAUUGGGAUGAUGAUGAUGAUGAUAUACGGACAUAUAUAUAUAUAUAUAGACAGGGCCCUUCCAACGAGGGAUCUCUUUUUUUGACAUAUAUGAGGGAUGGGAGAUUACACCAACUUUUCGAUUCUAUUUUUGAAUCUCUACCGUUCAGUUUGUUGGUCCUUAUAUAUAGAUCAAUUCUGCAAAUUUUCAGCCAAUUUGGUGAUCGUUAAGAUGUCGAACAAGAUUAAAUCAAUGAACGAACCAAAUCUGCCAGACCUGAACCGUUCAUGCUUAUAAUUAAAAAUCGUAGUUUUGAAUGCCUUAACGAUCACCAAAAUUUCUGAAAAUUUGCAGAAGUGAUCUACUCAUAUAGAACUACAUAUUGAACGGUGGAGAUGUGAUUUUGUGAUCAAAAAGUUGGUGUAAUCCCCCAUCCCUCAUAUAUGUCAAAAAAAGGGAUCCCUCGUUGGAAGGGCCCUGUGUAUAUAUAUAUAGAUAUAUAUAGGUCCUUAUUUAUUCUUACGGUGCGGAUUUCCACUUUAGACUCACUUUUCAAUCGAAUUUUCACAUCUCCACCGUCUAGUCUUUAAGUACUAACGUAUAGAUCAUCUUUGUAAAAUUUCAGCCAAUUUGGUUAUCAUUAUGGCACACUCAAAACUGCUUUUUUUUUUUUAUAAACAUGAACGGUUCAAGUUCGACAGAAUCGUUUUUUUGUUAUAAACAAUUAAACAUGAACGGUUCAAGUUCGACAGAAUUAUGUUCAUCCAUUGGUUUAAUCGAAUUUGAGUGCCUUAAUAUAACCAAAUUGGCUGAAAUUUUUGUAUAACUAAUCUAUACAUUAGUACCUAAAGACUAUACGGUGGAGAUGUGAAAAUUCGAUUGAAAAACGAGUCUAAAGUAGNNNNNNNNNNNNNNNNNNNNNNNNNNNNNNNNNNNNNNNNNNNNNNNNNNNNNNNNNNNNNNNNNNNNNNNNNNNNNNNNNNNNNNNNNNNNNNNNNNNNNNNNNNNNNNNNNNNNNNNNNNNNNNNNNNNNNNNNNNNNNNNNNNNNNNNNNNNNNNNNNNNNNNNNNNNNUGUGUGUAGUGUAUUAUAUAUAUAUAUAUAUAUAUAUAUAUAUAAUGAAUGAGUGUUAAAAAUAAAUUAUGUACUUGCCUCAUAAUGCUAUCACAACGUUACAAAUUCCCAUUCUUCUUUCGACAUGUCCAGGAUUUCAAUUCCACCAUCUUCAAACAUGAUCUGCAACCAAAAACACAUAUCCAUCUUCAAACAUACUCUGAGACCAAAUACACAUGCCCAUUUCCAAAUUGUUAAGUUUACAAUACUGUACACUUGACAUGACUGUGGAGUUUAUCUACAAAGAUCAACAGCUCUUACCGCAUGUUUUUUGGAAUGAUUAUCAAACCGUUUGAUGACCCCGAAUGACCUGCAAUGUAUAAACAUAAAAAAAGAACUACUGAGCAAAUGAAAUUCUUUUACAACAAGACAAAUGCAAACUGAAACCUAUGAAAGAAAUUAAAAAUGUAAAGUAGCAGUUAAUGAGUCAUUAUAACUUUAACACACUCAGAAGUGAACUGCAGGACUUCAGUUCACCUAGUCUUUUCCGAUGGAAAAUAAGUCAAUGAAAGUUUCUAAAUAUCUGUUUGAGGUCAAUAGGUGUCUGUGAGAGAGAGCCAUAACAAAACAUUGACACUGUUAACUUCUGUUGAUCUAGCCAGAAGCACACUAGCAUCCCUGAGCCAAAGUUCGAAUGCCGGACACCACAGCAGGGAUAUGAUACCCAGUAUCACUCCUACAGAUUUCAUAUAAGUUUUUCAAGAACCCAGACUUUAACAACUGUUGCCCCUGUAUAUGUGGAAAAUAAAUACAAUUUUUGUUUUCCAAUUUUGGCCCCUUGUAUGGUUGUUUAUCAAAAGUUUCCCAAGGCCACCAAACUAUACCCAUGAUUUCAGCAAGCACAGGUAUUUUAUUCUAUUUCAACUGUGGCCAACACGUAGGCAAAGAAUAUCAGUAAUAUUUAAAAAACCAGAUACUAUUACCAAGAUUAUUAUUAUCAUACAUAAAAAAUACGCAAGUGUUCCUUAACAAGAGGAAAGUGACAAAGCAACUUGUAAGUCGACCAUUAAUCACUUUUGAUCCUCUAAUGCUACUUAAAUUUGUAAAUUAACUAAAGUAAGCCAAGCAAAAACAAGCUCUGAUAUGACAAAGCACUAGGUUAACAGAACAUAGGACCAUGUAUGGUUCCUUGUUAUAACAAAGUUGGGAUUUGUGAAGAAGCCAAAAUAACUUCCAAUAACUCACAAUUGUGCGGAAACCAAGAGACUGAUCUGAUACGAAAUAACUAAAGAGAAAAUACAUCUGCACCCUCUAGUUUGGGUCACUUUCACAUACUCUGUAGUUCUAGUUUUUGCAAUCAUGUCCUUGUAAUUAGCUAACAGUAGCUGUCCUUGUAAUUAGCUAACAGUAGCAAUCAAUAGGAAUUUUGUUUUUUCUGAAGACAGAAUAGUCACUUGAGGCUUAUGUGCAUGGUGAGUACCAUUUAUAAUGCUCAUUAAUUUUGAUUAGGUUAGACUUUGGUCCCUGCAGUACUGUCUGUGAGACCAACAUGACAACAGAGAAUCAAAUGAAAACAGACAUAAAUUACAAGGACCAAACUCGUCCACAGAAAGGAUAGGAAAUCUUAGAAAGCACCAAAGGGCUCACAAGAAAUCACAGCCAUCUUUUGGACAUGAGACUAAAACCAGGAGUAGAACCAGUUUUACACUACUAAUUCCUAGUAUUGCACAACAAUUUCUAAAAAUGUAUGGUUAUUAGACAUCCUGAAAUUACCUCUCAUUUAUGGGACGACGUAUUCGUAUCACUUCAUCAAUGCAAUUACAAGCAGUACCACCUUGGCUAUGGUCCUUACGGAUAUGUUGAGAACUUCCUAAAAGAAAAGAUAAGACGUGUAACAAGAGUUCAGACAUUAUUCUUCAGAAACAUUGAAUCACUACAAUAGCGGACAAUAUUGAUAAUGUACUUUAUGAAAACACUACUGUUAUACAGGAAAGCUCACCUACAGGAAAACCACCAUUUGGAUAAACCUUCACCAGAAAAGAGUCCCACAAUUAGUCCAAAUUCGCAAAAACAUAUCAUGCAUGCACACACACAAAUGAAAAAUACAAAAAUAAAAAUAUUUAAAAAAUAAAAUAAAAAAAUAAACAAAAAAGACAUUUCAGCAACAAAAACUUAACAAAGCCAAAAAUGCAUUAUAUACAAAUACUAAUGUCACCUCUCAAGUUACCAGCAUCGUCUUACAAUUCUUAUGCUUUUAGUUAUUAGUAUUUUAAAAAAUCAAGCGAGGCUCAUUCGAUAAAUUCUUACUGAACUUUAAGUACUAACUUAGAAAUCAAAGAAUGUAUGUGUCGCACUAUUGUUUGAUUUGUUUCUACCUUCCUCUUCUUUGUUUCAAAGCACAUAUUACUAUAGUUCUGUGAAAUGUCUAGUUCUGUAUUCCUAUCUUGUCAUCUCAUCAAGUAUAUUCAAUUUGGAAUGAUCCAAACCAUGUGCCUAAACACAUCAAAGUAAUUACUCUAUAUCUACAAACGUGUGUGAAGUAAACACUAGCCAUUAGCAUGCCCACACACAGCAGAACAUAGUAGUUAAACACAAAUUUAGCACGUAUUAUAAACGCAUGCAUGCCCUUUAGACCAUUUAUUACAAGACCUUUAUGGAAGAGAAUACUACCAAUAAUUAGACAAAACCGUUAAAUAAUUGACCAAAAUAUUUGGAAGAACGACAAGCAAACCAACACUUACAUCUUUUGCAGAGAACAUUCCUUUUACUUUGGGAGAGGACACUGCCAGCUGGCAUGCUACUAGUUUCAAUGCAGCAACUGAUGACAUCUUCGGUUUGGUAGGUCGGACACCGAGUUUUUCACGACAACCAACAGCACCACAAUGGCAAUCUUGAUCUGCACCAAAUUGAACGAACCUGCUGAAAUUAUUAGACUGGACUGUGAUAUAAAGGUAACAGCUAGUAGAUUUAUACACAAUCGAAAUCCAAGUUGAUGAUUCUAAAAACAUAUCUCAUACCAAAGAUGCAACAGUUAAUCGAAGUACUCAAUCAAGGGUUAUGUAGGUGUCCAUACUGAUAAUCAUAGGUGAGGUGAUCUCCCCUUUUUAUGUCGCAAGUUGCAAAAAUUCCUAUUCUUGUUUCGCCAUCGAUUAUCCUUCACAAAACAAUAGCCAAAAAUUCAUGUAAGAUAUGAUAUAACUAUUACAAUGUUUAAAUCAGUAUGAAGGCCAAGUAGAAGACCAUUUUUGCAUCUCAGUAUUGGGACAACAGCUAUGGUUUAUGUAUCUUGAUUUGUUUCCCUUGUACGUAGCAUCAAUAACCAUAUCUCGAUUGAUUUCACAUAAGUAAAAGUUUGUUUCACCACGGUGUUUCAUAUACCAGAGCCUUUCCUCACAUGUUUUGUCAUCAAUAACUGUAAGAAAGAAACAGCAUUGGUUAAUAGCUUUCAACUACAAAACAAGCUACGUUUACCCAAAGAGAAAGCAAAAAUGACUAAGAAAAUAGUUACCUUCUCCAACGUAUUCUAUCACAAAUUCUCCUUGCUUAAUAUCUUCAUCCGCCACAAUUCCAGAACCACAUUUCUCAGUCUACAAUAAAGACCUUACUUUAACUCCGCAUACAAAAAAUGACUAAGAAUGAAGAGAAGUUAUAGAACAAACUAUCCAUUGAUAAAUUCAUAACAAGGCAACACAACAAGCAAUAGACCAGUCAAUCCCUUAUGUGGAAAAUAGGUUUGCCCAUAAUCAAUCUUCUCAUAUUCAAAAGUUUAUCACAGAAAAUCCUGGAUGAGUAUUUGUUUAAAUACUCAAAUGUUGUAGCAGAGCACCUAAUUUCUAUUCUUUUUUUCUUUUUUGAAAAGGCAUAGCACCUAAUUAGUUGCCCAGGAUGCAAAGAUUUGAAUAAAGAUCCACCAACAUAAGAGACCAACGUUUGAUCAGACAGUCAUUUAUUUACAAAAAGAACUUCUUAUCCUUCAACGUUAGUUUGUAUGUUUAAAAUGAAGACUACCAAGGUUGAACUCUCCGGUCUAUGCAAUCUUUCUUUAUAUGAAUUAUUCCCUUUUCACGAAAUGUAUUACAAUUUAAUUACUUCAACAUAAAACAGAUACCUUGACCAGCUUCAUCUUCUUCACAGGCCGGUGCUGGAAUGGUUUGUUCAGACAUGAACUUCCACAUUUACAGCCUGAGGAGCAGCUAGACAGUAGCAUCCUGCAGAAUAAUACAAUCAACUUAUUUCAGCCUGAAUGUCAACUAUACUAUCACAUUAAAAAUUGAUGUUCUUUUCCUAGAUCUGCGAGCAUUCAAAAGUUUCAGGCCUAAGAUUAAGUAGACAGGUAUCAUAUGCUUACCUCAUCCAUUAAUUACAUGCAACAAAGAGACUAAUAGCUAUACUACCUUGGUGAGAGGCAAUGUCCAAAAGACAAGCACCACUCACUAGAGAGUGGACCACUGCCCAAGACUCUUACUACAUGUAAGCAAACUUUAUAUCAAAAUGAGAGUUAAAAAAUGUGACAUUAGGUAGAGAGACUAUAUUUGAGGAUUCAUGUUGAAACAUCAAAGUAUAUAGACAUUGUUGACCAAGAUUUUCCUUACCCACAGUGGCAAUCUCUACCACAAACAGUCGGAGACCCUGGUGAUGAUGGGGCGCAUGAGCAGAAUAUUCCAUCAUCCUCAAGUCGUCUUUUAAUCUUCUUAGUGAGAUAUAUAUCUUAAAUUGUCAAAGAAACUAAAAAAGUAGAGAAGUGAAAGUAGUUGAAUAUGGACUAAUGUAUAAAAUGGAAACGCAGAUGGAGACAGUACGCAGCAAUACAGUUGAAGUUAUGAGUUAAGUAAGAGUAUCAGAAAAAUAUGCAGAAAGUGCCUGGAAUCAUUGAGUUGCAAACAAAAAUGAUAAAAGGAUACUGCGCUUUAUAAAAGUGUAGUUCAUCGGUUUCCAUUUAUUGAACCAAUCUGGAAGUUCAAAAUCCACAGGGCUUCCAAUCUGCUUCAGCAACUUGUUGAAUACAUUCCCAAAGUGACUACGCUCAGAAUGCUGAUAAGAACAAAACACAAAAAUUCAUUACCUGGCAAACAGCUCCGAUCAAAGCCAAGAAGGAAACCCAAAUUUAUGGAUCCGAGUUGAGUCGCGAAUUGAUGAAAAGAAAAGGCAAGAACAAGAAAGAAAGGAGAAAUCACCUUCCUCAUAGCAGGCAUCGCACUAAGAACCGCAGCCUGCGGCGACACUUGAUUUUGGCAAACUCGGUAUUUGGUGUCAAAAUAUUAAAUAAUAAUAAUAAUAAAUUGUUCGUGGUCUCUUGAUUAUCCUACCAAAUAAGUUGGUGUAGCAAAUAAUGUCUUUUUAAGUUCCAAAAUAAGUAGUGAUGAGCGAUGUAAUCUUUUGGCUUCUAGGUAACUAGAAGGUUGUUUACUAUCUUUUGGUUUUCUUCGGGUAAAAUGUGAUCAAAAAUUAGGUAUUUUAAAUCAUAAAUCAAAAAGUUCAUACUAAGUCCUCAACUUAAAAAUUUUCAUUACAAGGGCUCCUCUACUCAUCAAGUCCUCAACUUAAGAAUCCUCACCAGAAGGGCUCCCACUAUUAUCAAUCAAGUUUUAUGAGUUUUUCUCUUCUCUUCUAGUGGACUCCAGAUUUAUCCAUUAUUGGGUUCAUAACUGGUGAACAUUCUAUUGUUUUCUGAUCAUGUCACUCCAAAAAUGAAAAUGUUUGCCUAGCAAUUACUUUUUUUUUUGAUUGGAUGCCUAGCAAUUACUUAGAGGUCGUCUUGAAACUAGAGACUUGAUUUAUACUUCUAAUGGCUAUUGCCAGGUCUUGCCCUUUCUGUAAUACUAGGAACCUAAUGAUUAGCUUUUUGUGCUUUUACUUCUAAAGUUUGGUCUUCUGCUGGUAUUCAUUUAGAUCCUCGUCACAAUGUUUCUUUCCUUCACUGGCUAGAGCAAUUGCUGCCACUUUAGCUGCUGAUUAUUGUGGUAAAAGUCAUUUUAAUUUACUGUCUAAACCUUCUUCUUCUCAAAUUAUCAAAUGGCAUACCCUCCUAAAUUUGUUAGAUUGAACUUUAUGGUUCUGUUCUAUCAAAUAAUAAUGCUUAUGCUAGCUUUGUUAUCCGAGAUAAUCAAGGUUGUCCUUAAGUUGCUUCUACUAAAUUUUCAGGGACAAAAAAAUCCUUUUGGCAGAAGCAUUGGGUUUUAGAGCUAGUAUUUUUACCACCUCUGUGUAUUGACGACGAAUAUUAACAACAUCAAACAAUUAUCCCUGAUGUUAGAUUUUUCGCCACACAAUUUACUUCCAAUCACUUUUACUCACAUUUGGUGUGAAACAACCUUUCUUGCAUAUUCAGUUGUAGAUAUUGAUAACUCUACUCUUAUUGCUGGAUGACAAAAUGGACUCCCUCUAUCAUCAGCUGCUGCUUUCAGUUUCAAUUUUCAUGGUUUAGGUUGUAUUCCUGGUUUUCGUUAUGAUUUUGUUUUUUUUUCUCUUGUUUUGUAGAACUCCCACCUUGACAUCCAUGUACAAUUGAAAUCUAGCUCGUAACUUAACCUCUACUUGUUAUUCUAGAUUACCAACAUAUCGCAUCUCACCGAUCAACGUACUCAUGCUGUCCUAUCAUGUCUGAAAUCGACACUCUUUUGGAUCUAUACCUUGUAAAAAUUUCAACUUGGUUCUGUUUGCUGCCCCUAUGAAAAACUGUAUAGUAGAACUGGAUAUAUUGAAGUUCACGUACAAAGAUUACUAUAUGGCUUUAUAAUGGUCACAACGUUUAUUUCAGAUGUGUCUUCGUGACUAAAUACAGUUUCUGGCCAUCAUUUAUCAAGUCUAUAUCAAGAAUUUUACCUGCAUCUUCUGAUAAAAUACACACACCACCUAAAAAUUCUAGUUUCUCAGACGCCGUGUUGAUAAGCUCUUCAAUAGUGGGAGGCACCCAUAACACAAUUCCAGAUCUUCUGUGUUCUUUGCUAUCCCAGGGGUGGAACGGAAACACUGUACAUUUCUUUGGAUGCAUUUUAUCUGCAACUUGCAACAGAAAUUUGGUAUCAACGGACGGGUGACAAGUUGAGCAAUAAUUGGUAAGUUGUUCAUAAUAAGCAGGUUGUUUGGUCCUGUAUGUCAGUAUAUGUAUCAAGAGGCAUGAUGACAUCCCCAUACUCGUAAAUGUUGAAUCAAUAAUAUGUUGCCUCAUUCAACUGAAAAUGGAAACACUAAUCUAAACUUGGGACUGAACUUGGAGGCAAUAUGAACAAGACCACCUAAACUUCUACUUUUGACCUUGUUUCCUAGACCCAGUAGGACAGUCAGUAUACUGUUAAACCCACAAACUAGACACGGCUGAACCCUACAUUAGCUACCUUGGUUUUAAAUUGGUGAUUACAGAAAGUACUAGUAUCUUACUAAGAUGUAACACCUUUCUAAAAAGAGAACCUGUUGUAUUUUUUUUUUUUUUGGUCAAGAGAACCUGUUGAUUAGCAGUUAGGUUCCGUUACUGUAGGAAAUAAAUUUUAAAAGAAUGAUGAAGUACCUGCAAUUUCUUGAGCACGGUAUGGAAAUUCCGACAACUGAGCAGCCUUUGCUUCUUCCAGCAAUUUGAUCAAAUUCUUGUUUCCACACAUCCGACCUUCAUCUAAUGGGGUGUUUCCCCACCUGCAGGGUAACAAUACAAUCAUAAAAAUUGUGGAAGACAUAAAGCAAGCACAGACAAUGCAAUAUCAUAUUUUUAGAACUGCCCCCUUCUUUCUAUUUCUGAAAUGCAAGGAGCAAUCACAGACAAAGAGGGUGAGAAGAAAAGUUGAAUGAAACCAUUAAGUAAAUGCUAUAACGGUGUAGCUUAACCUGAUCCAGGAAACAUUAUAAUCUCAAAUGGUGUAGUUAAGCUAUGUCUUUUGCAAGAGAAUAGUAAUCAUAAGCAAAGUUUAUAUAUGCAUCUGUCGACAUCGAAAAGAAAUGGAUAUUACAAGUUUACCUGUCCUUCGAGAAAACACUUGCUCCAGCUUCUAACAGCAACUUCGCCAUUAAAUAUAGUCCCUCAGAGGCAGCUAUAUGAAGUGGCGUCCGUUGAUCAUAACCUUUGGAAUUAGGAUCAAUGCCAUUUGACAAUAACUUUUUAAGGAAAUCUGAAUCCCCCUUUGCAAUUGCUGUACAUAAAAAACUACCAGCAUUAUCUAUAUUCAAGGAGGCCCCUUCUUUUAUAAGUAGAGAAGAAACUCGAUCAUGUGCAUUCUUGAUGGCUUCGAGUAAGGGUGUAUUCCCAAAAUUGUCUAUAGUAAAAACAAAAAAAAUGAAGUAAUUGUCAAAUUACAGGGUUACAUAGAAGACCAUAUAUGAACAAGAGCAUUGUACAAAGUUUAUUUUAUCAUAUAUUUACCUUUGAUGUUGAUGUCUACUCCUUGCUGAAUAAGGAAAAGUGUAAUAUCUUCAUGUCCUCGUAGUGCAGCAAGAUGCUGUAGAGAAAAAGAUACUCUUUUAAGAUAAAAGCCCCCUUUCUAAAUAUCUCUAGAUAGUAACAAAAUUAUUCCAAGUCUAUAACCACUAUUUUUAAUCUACAGACUUUCAUUUUCAUCACUACAUUAUAAGGUCCACAUCUUGUAAUUCUUGUUAAAAACAGUUCUUAAUCCCUUCUAAAGCUAUGCCUGUUGACUUUGGUUUCUAAAACCUAAAAGUGGUCAUCAUGUCCUUGUUUAGAACUUCAAAAAUCACAACUUCAACUAUUAGAGCUGACUAGCAUAAUUGGAUUGGGGUUUAUGCACGAGCCUCGGCUUUAUCAAUAUGGAGCUUAUACAAAAUAAACAUGCUGGCUUGAGCCUAGUUUACAACAUCAUAUUCAUUUUAUUAAUUUUUAAUAUAAGCUUUUAAGAACAUAAAGGAAAUAAUUUGUUUAAAAUAGCCACAAAGAUUGAACAUACAUGACUAUUCAAAUUUCCCCAGGAGCACAAUCCCAAUGUGGAGAACUUGUUUUAAGUCCAUUUCCUGAUAUGGUGUAAGCUUUAAGUUGCAAUUUGCCUUUUAACACUUGGAUUUUAGAUAUUUUUACUUUCAGCUAUGGGGGUUUUGCCAUAUUUUGUGUAUUUACUACUCUGUUCAAAAGUGCAGCUAUCCCCAAUUAAUUGUCUGUUCGAAAGGAAUUCAUAUAGCUUAAUAUAUUAAAUCUAUAUUUGUACAUAUCCACACACACACAUAUAUUCUCAGAAACUCAUCAUGUGUUCUUACCAAGGGUGACCUUCCAUCAUAAUCUGUCUUGUUGGGAUCAGCCCCAGCUCGGAUCAAACCUUUUAGCUGAUACAGAUCUCCAUGAUACGCAGCACUAUUCACCUUUAAAGAAAGUUCAGCUUCUUGCUUUCCAAUGUGAAAACUGAUGUCCGACUCUAGUUGCUUGACAUGAGGUCCUUUGGCCUGUACAAAAUUUAGCCAUAUGACACAAUGCAAAUAUAGUCAACUGUACUCAGAAACAAGAAUAUAUGUGUAUGUCAAGUAUGAGUACUAUAGAGAACUAACCUCCAGAAGGUUGUUCAAGAUUUUACGCCCGUCGUAAAAGUAUAUGUCAAGGAUACUUGUAAAUGAUUCUUUAUCAAGUCGCAGAAGCCUACACAGUUCACACACCCUAACUGUAUAAGGUUGUGGAAUGUUACAAAGAAUGGAGACUUCCCCAAAUGAGCUGCUAGGUUGCAAAAGCGAAACUGUUUCUUCAGAUCCAUCUUCCCCUAAACCGACCUCCUCCUGUACAAGAAUAUUUGGAUUAUAGUUAUUUGGUAAAUCCUUGAGAAUAAAUAAACUUUAGGAUGAAAUAAUCAGGGAAAUUCCACAGUAAACUAGGAUAUCGGUAAAUCAAUACAAGACCAGCUCCCUACAAGGGUAGACAAGCUCCAUGUAAACAAAAACUGGCUAGAGACCAGGCUGAGCUAGCUAGCCUACUUGUAUGCAAUCAGUCUACCACUGUGUGGAGCUGGUCGACUUGAUGAACCAACAAAUUAAGGUAAUGUAAGCAAACCCCAAAAUCAUCUGUUCAAAACAAAAGUGACAUAAAUUUACUGAAGAAUUAAAUUCAGUUUACCCCCUUGUGGUUUGAGGGUGACUUCAUGUUAGUCCAUACAUUUUUAAUUUCAUCAGUUUACCCCCUGUACUCUUCAAUUUCUGUCUAGCGUGCCCAAAUUCUCAUAUUCUGUUUGAAUUGACCGUUAAUUCUAGAUAUGGGCCCUAUAAUUAAGGUUAAAAUUAUCAGCAGUUAACGUCUGAUUUGGACACAAGAUAGGACAUUGGUCACGGUUGAGAAAAAUUCAAAAGUUUGAGGGGUAAACUGAUGAAAUUGAAAUAAUAGGGAUUGACAUGAAGUUACUCCCAACCUCACGGGGGUAAACUGAAUUUAAUUCUUUACUGAAUUAACUAUAUCAGUUCCACCGGUGAGUCUAGAAUCUGAAAACGUACCAGUAUACCAUGACAGACAAAAUAAAGUUGAUCUACAACAUUUCCAGGUUCCAUGAUCACUUCUCCUGGGAGGAAAAAUUCUUCGUGUAACUUAAUAACCUGCCAGAUGAAAAGAAUAAGAAUAUCCAGAAUUCAUUAGUUCACAUUAAGCAGAGACAUCCAUGGACCAAGGAAGACUUUAUCUGACAUCCUGUCUGGCGGUGCACAUGAAAACUCGCGAAUGUUUAACACACUAACACCACCAGGUGCUUCUUAUAGCUGGACUAAUGGGAUUGACACAAAAGCAUGGAAAUUAGAGUAUACACUUAUACAUUUGUUACUGACAUUGGAAUAAGGUUCCCGGUCAGUCAUUUUCAUGCAGAAUAAUAAACAAAUUCAGUCAUUUCCAUUCAGUACAAGUAUCAAUUUAAUAUGAUUUUUAUUGUCUAUGAUGAACUUACCAGCAAGCCUACAAACAAAUUCAUCUUUUUACAAAGCAGAAUUCAGCUAUAGUUUUAUUUGAACAUUAUUUGUGUAAACCGUUUUUUAAAAAACAAGGACUUACUAUCUGAUUGAUGAAUUCCGUCGAGCAUCCCUUGAAGAGAGGAACACUUACAAUGUAUGGAAAAUAUAAGGUUUGUGAAAUCUGCACAAAAGAGCCAAACAGUUUGAUGAUACAGAAAUAUCCAAAAAGAAAAACUCAACUAACAAAUAACCAGGUGUCAUGCAGUAGUCUGAAUAAGGCUUAUACAUUGAAAUGAAAGUAAAGAUGUUCCUAAUAUCUGCAAAGUAAUUUUGCAGCCUACAGCUCCAAUACAGAAGCAUCUGUGCCAUAUAGCAUACAAAUAAUGUAACACAACUAAGGAUAUUAUCCUCAACAAAAACUUAAAAGACAAAACAGGCAAUGAGAAAGAAAACUUGUAGCGAUGCUCUCGCGUAUCCUUUUAAUCAAACAAAAAGAUAAAAUAAAUAUUAGAUACAAAACAGGGAAGAAAAACACAGAUGAACCUAGGGCGGAAAGCAUGUAAUCGCAAGAACUGCAGUAUAUGCACAUGCACAUAGUCAAAAUAUUUUAAGGAGUCUAUCAUUCUAAUAUCAAGGACAUGAAAUCCUCACAGGACCCUUUUAAUUAUGUUACCUUAGCGCGAAUUGAAGCAGGGAUCUCCUGGAGAACAGCAGCCUCUGUGUAGCUACUCUCAUACUGCAAACGCAAGUGGCCUUUGAUCUGAUUACGGAUAUCCCUACCAAGUCUAUUUCUGUUCAUAUACUUGGUAAGAUCUGUCAUUUUGUCCCUGAACUUUUCUGUCUUUGAUCCUUUUACUAUUAACGCUGUCAUGUUACCAAUCAAAUACGCACCAAGAACCAUGUCAAAAGAGACAUAAACCAUAAUGAAGAUCAUCUCCCUCAUGUUUACUGCAUGUAUAUCUCCAUAUCCUGUAGCCAAAAAUAAGUGCAGAUCAGGAUAAUAAUUUAAGGAAAAAAAUCAGUUUACUACCCUGAACUUUAGGUCUAAAAUCAGUUUGAUACCUCAUCUUUUUUAAUCAGUUUCAUACCUANNNNNNNNNNNNNNNNNNNNNNNNNNNNNNNNNNNNNNNNNNNNNNNNNNNNNNNNNNNNNNNNNNNNNNNNNNNNNNNNNNNNNNNNNNNNNNNNNNNNNNNNNNNNNNNNNNNNNNNNNNNNNNNNNNNNNNNNNNNNNNNNNNNNNNNNNNNNNNNNNNNNNNNNNNNNNNNNNNNNNNNNNNNNNNNNNNNNNNNNNNNNNNNNNNNNNNNNNNNNNNNNNNNNNNNNNNNNNNNNNNNNNNNNNNNNNNNNNNNNNNNNNNNNNNNNNNNNNNNNNNNNNNNNNNNNNNNNNNNNNNNNNNNNNNNNNNNNNNNNNNNNNNNNNNNNNNNNNNNNNNNNNNNNNNNNNNNNNNNNNNNNNNNNNNNNNNNNNNNNNNNNNNNNNUCUCUCUCUCUCUCUCUCUCUCUCUCUCUCUCUCUCUCUCUCUCUCUCUCUCUCUCUCUCUCUCUCUCUCUCUCUCUCUCUCUCUCUCUCCCUCCCUGCCUCCAAAUUCACCACAUGGCCAGCGCCGGCAUCCACCCCUACCACCAGCAAUGGGCCCCGGCGGCAGCCCCUCCUCCUCCCCCGGCCGUCGCUGCUGUCAUUCUUAACUCUGAGAGGGUAAAAAGAUUAACCAGGGCUAUUUUAGUCAUUUUGGUCGAGAUUGAUGUCAUUUUGAAAGUUUAGGUAUGAAACUGAUUAAAAAAAAAGAUGAGGUAUCAAACUGAUUUUAGACCUAAAGUUCAGGGUAGUAAAGUGAAAUUAUCUCAUAAUUUAACUUUAAAAUUUUCAUCAACAAUUGUGAAUGAAACACUGAUAAUAAUAGUAAUUGUAGUACUUUCUCCUUUCUAGAUGCUUUUCUCUUAAGCUUAACCUUGGGUACGUACAACUGACUGAAUUGUGGUUUCUUGUUAAGCUUAGAUGUUUCGGAUGUCAACCCAAGUUCAAAUGUUUUGGUUGGUGCGUACACAAACUUCUUGUUAAGUUUAGAUGUUUUGGAAUGUUAAUUUUAGAAAGAAACUUCAAAUGUUUUGGUUAGUAAAUCUCACACAGGCGCACGCACACGCACACGAUCGAAGGUAACUAAUUAUGGGCGAAAUCAUUGCGAAAAAGAAAAAGAAAAAGAAAAAAAAAAAAAGGUAACUUACCAACAGUAGCCAUGGUUACAAUGGCAAAAUAUAGCGAUGUUGUGUAGCGCUUCCAUAGAUCAAUCUCUCUGAAGCUAGAAUAACUAUAGUCACCCAACUUCAGACUUCCAAUCCAUGUGUACCCCUCUUCUACAGGAGGCAAGGUGGUGGCCAAAUAGUAAAAGAUGCAAGCUGCUGUAUGUGUGCAAUAGAGUUCAACAACCAGAAGCUUUACGAUCCUGGUAAACUCGUAACUAAUCCGAAUAUCCUUCUCUAGAUCCUGGAAAAACUUGGUGACUUUGCGCACCCGACACAACCUAAGCCAUAGAAGGUACCUCACUUCCUCUCUUCUUCCACAAGCCUGUUCAAAAAGAAAAUAGCUAGCAUGUAAGUAGCAGAGACGCUAGAAAGAACAUGCAUAUAUAUAUGUUGAAGGCACGUACAGUUUGAUUAUCAUCAAACCAGAAAUGGUAGUAUGUAUGUACCUUGUAGAUAUUAUCCCAAGGCAUGCAGCCAAGCAAGUCAAGGAUGAAACCAGAUUUCAAGUACCUAUAGCAUGAAAUUGUCAUAAGAUCAACCAAACAAUUGUACUUGACAUAAAAGGGUAAGUAAUUAAGAAGAUUGAAGAAACAAACCGGAGAGCAAUGGGAGUGCGCUUAUAGACCAUUCGAUAGGUCUGACUGUCUCUGUAGGCAACGAAGAAUUGCAGAAUAAUGUCGACGAGGAAAGCUACCUGGCCUACGAUGUCUAGUAUGAAGAGCUUCUCUUGCAGACCCCUGAAGAACCCGAACUCGAAAGGUGUGAAGAAGGACGAGUAGAUUGCCCAUACCAGUAUCACUUUCGUCCAUGCCCGAUACCACCUGCAUUAUUCAUCCCAAUAUAUAUCACCCCACACACAAAAUCAAACUCCAUCCACAAUUCAAACGGUUUGAGCACAAGUUCCUCAUAUAAUGUUACUUUUGCCGGAAAAUGACGAUUCUACCCUCUAAAGAAAAUGGAAAUUUAGGUUGACUACGCAAUUUUUAAUUUUUUUUUCCUUGUACUAAAGAACUAUUACAAAACAAAACAUCUAAAACAACAUAAUCCGAAGAGAUCAAAAGUGAUAGCUGAACCUACAGCACAGGAAAAGUCUGAAUCCCAAAAACUAGGCCUCGCACAAUGGUGACCGAGGUUGGCAGCAAAGUUAGCUUCACGGAAAUUAUGCUGGAAGUGUUGUUGACUACGUAAUUUACAACAAUUUUUACAAGUAUGCUCUCAACAUGAUCUGUUUUGUAAAUUGACUUGAUACAAUUUGAGAUCGGCAGCUCCAUUUUUCUUGUUCAACUAGUGUUCAUAAACAAAACGAGUUGGAUUUGAGCUGCUAAAUUUGAUCCACAUUGCAUCGCUUGAUCGAUGUUCAUCCCCAUUCAGCUCGAUUUUCACUGUGAUCAACAUCGUUGUUUCCUUAAUAGAGUUUGUAUUUUGGCUUGCAUAUUUGUAUAUGCGAGCAUUUUCUAUCUUUGAGUCUCAAGUUUUCCUACCUUGAUGCCCAAACUAAAUGACAUCGAUAUUGGACUAAGUUUUUAUUUUAUUUUAUUUUUUUUUAUGGAAAGAAGAAAACUUACAACACAAAGCCUUGAGAAACUCUCUGCCCUCAAAAAGAUCAAGCUGGAAUGCAGAACUCGAGGAUAUUGGACUAAGUUGGAGAAGAGCUCAAGAUGUCGUGACUUUACUUUUGUCUUGGCAGAUUCUUCGUCCACCUUUCGUAGUAAUGCCAUUAUGCCAACGAGGGUACGUAAUUCACUUCUGAUAUUUGUUUGUGGUGCCAAAAAACAAAGGGGGAAAAAGGGAUUUUAGAUUGUGAGGUAAAAACGUUUUGACAUUCCUGAAGAGAAAUCCUUAUCAAAUUAAUUGUUGACCAUACACGUUGAUAACUGGAUAUGGAUAACUACAACCUAGCUAUGUGAUAAACACAAUCCUAUGAUGGACCAUAAUUGAAGAAAUAUCAAAGAAAAGGAUUGUGUAUAAAUAAACUCACUUCCUAUAUAAUUUAAAUCGUGAUGAUGAGGAGAUAGAUUAUUCUACAAAGUGAUUGUUGCCUUGUUGGAUAAGGUAUGUAGAUCUAAAUUUGUCUGAACAACUAAUAGGAAUGCGCGCGGCUACGUUUUGCACAUGAAAAAGAUCCAAAACUACUUCACAAGGUGAUUUCUGAAGCGUAGAUUGUUUAACUCAAUGUACCUAGCUUGUUGUUAAUAGGAAUGGUUUUCUAACCUAGCCUUCUGGGCGGGCUUAGAUUAUGCAAGGACUUUGCCACUUGUUAAUUGAAAUCUUUCUUUUAAAAGCCUCGUACUUGUUAUUAGUCGAGCAAAAUAUUGAAAGUACUUGUGGCAAACUAUCUACUCAACCUCUUGUAACAAAAGUAUUGGCGCGCAUGGGCGAUGGCCGUUUCUAGGGAUUUCUAUAUGGACUCGGAUCCAUCGACACAAUGUUAGGAAAUAAAUAUUUGUACCUUCGGACUCGUUUGGUAACAUAGAAAGAAAAUUUGUUCCUUUGUAUUUCUCACUAGAAAAGAAAAAGAACCUCCAACUAGUUUUCAUUUUCUUUGUUUGCAAUUGGGAAUGUUAAAACAAUGAGAAAAUAUGUGUUUGUUUCCGCUUUUGAUGUUUUGUUAGUGCAAGAAAAGAAAAGUAGGAAAGCAGUUAUGCAUAGUUAUAUAUACUGAUCUUAUACGUAGUUUCCUUGAACUGUAUGUAGAGAUCGUUUACUUGUAGCUAGGAAAGGUUAUGUCUCAUAUAUAUAUACAAGCCUUUUCAGAUACAAAUCUCCUUAUUUAUUCAAAAGGUACGGAUUUCCUUAAUUGACAUACUUUUUUUAUCAUAUUUUCUCAUCUCAACCAUUCAUCUUUUAGGUAUAUAUAAGUAGAUUAUCUCUACAAAAUUUCAGCCAAAUUGAUAAUCAUUAAGGUAUUCAAAACUGUGAAUUACACGAACGGUUAUUGUUGAACAGAUUUGGUUCGUACAUUGUAAUCAUAUAGUUUCGAUAUCUUAACGAUCACCAAUUUAGCUGAAAUUUUGCAAAGAUGAUCAUGUCAUAUAUAUCUAGAUAUUGGUUGGCUAUGAUCGAAAAAUCUGACCGAAAAAUGGUUCUAUUGGCAAAAUCCAUACCUUUUGAAUAAAUAAAGAUGUUUGGACCUGAUAAGGUAUAUAUAUAUAUAUAUAUAUAUAUAUAUAUAGUUGAAAGAGGUAGCAGCAGCGAGAAGAGGGAGGAGGGUACCUGUUAUCUGGAUGAAUAACUCCGAUUCCCUUGGAGAGGCCUCUGACGCCAUUGAUGACGCUCUCCUUGCUCAGGUAGUACCUCAUUCUCCUUCUCCGACUAUUCGCCGUCGACGAUCCUUGAUCCAGUCCCAACUCGUUGGUUAUCAGAUUGAAUCUGCUUCCGCGAGACGACUUGAUCUGGUCCCUCAGAUCCUGCACCUCGUACUCCUCCUCCUCCCCAACCUCAUCCACCUCCUCAUCGUCGUCCGCUACUCUCCUCGACAUUUUGCUCUUCUUCUUCUGUUUAUCAUAAUACCCACGCAUUCUAUCACACUUGAUCUUCCAACUCCCAAUUAAUAUAUAUUGAAAUCAAAACAGAAACUCACAACCCAAGCUAGCUAGCUAGCUAGCAACCAAAUUAAAGCUAGUUAAUCUGCUUGCUUAGGCUUAUCAUGAUCAUGAUUAUGAAUGGUUGUGUAUGAUCGAUAUAGCCCAACCUUUGUAUGUAUAUGCAUAUAAAUAAGGAAAUAUAUAGCUGAGAGGUACGUACCUUUAUUCACGGAAAACUUGGCGUCGAUUUGCUGGGGAAGAAGAUAAAAGUACGUUCAACGUCAAAAUAUCACGGCGCAACUUGAUUGCACCGGCAACUUGGCAGAGAGAAAGAGAGACUAGAUUAUUCUCGAAAGAAAACCCUAAUAAUUUCUGCGAACUGGCGGCUUCACUUGAUUCAUCACAACCACACUAAACACUAGAGCUCUCAAAAUCUGUUUGGCGAUUACUGUUCCUUGUGUUACAUAGUUUAUAUAGCUCUCACUAUUCCCUUAUGAUCGAUCGAGCUGACGUAUCAAUUCCCAGCAAUUUCUCUUUCCUUAAUUUUUUAAUUUGGUUUUGGUGUGCUAGCUAGCUAUCUGCUAAAGCAACGUGUACCGCAUUUUAAGCCGCUCUACCCAAUAACCCAUUAAUAUUCCCUCAUUAUUAUUUGUUUUUAUCUCUAAACAAGAUAAUGGUUUUAAGUUGAUUCUGAUUGGUUUUUUUUUUUUCCAGGAGGAAUAUCUUGUUUAAAGGGAAGGAAGGGAGUAAUGUCAUUACUCUAAUGACAUCUAGCUGGUCAUCGGUGGAUCGACAUGCAUGAUACAAGCACAGAUAAUUAGAGAACACAAGCUAAUUCUUGAUCUCUGACUAUGUGGCUGUGUAAGUAUAUUAUGGUGAAAAAAGUAAAUUCUAGUAUUUUUUGAGUAAAGGGCUUAGGGCUGGUGCGUAUCCUUAAGUCUUAAUAAAACCGUCGAAUACAAGGGGGGUAUAAAAUCGAAACCCUUGAUUACAAAGACCCGAAAUAAUAUCAAGAAUCUCUACAACAUAUUUGUAUUCUAACAAACACCAGCUAGCAAAAAACACUACCCUAAAAAUUACUAUAUUUGUUUUGUCACAAUAGUGAUAUAAUGGAAAGAUUAUUUGAUACGUAACUUGUUUACAUAUCAUAAUGGCUAAUAAUACAGUUUUCCUAUUAUAUUGCCGUCAGAGAAUAAAUUCGACGACACUUAGUUUCAUCCUGUCACUAGGAGAUUGCGACCAUUUGACCAACCAAAAGACUCGACGCCUACCUAGAACAGAUAAGGCACACAAAAUGCACAGACCGGCACAAAGUCCUCCAUGACCCUACCAUAAAACGAUAGGGUAUUAUUGGCAACCUAAAGCCGCUUAGGCAAAUACUUAUUAACAUUAAAAUAAAAAUCACAAUGAAAUAACUAGAAAAUAAAAGCCACGUACCAACAAGGCCCACAAGCAAAGACUCGGCCCACCCACCUUUCUCCCAAGCCCAGCACUGCAGCCCACCAUAGUUGCUGCCAACGCGUUCUUCUGUCACCCCGCUGCCUCCUUGCUCCACCACACUGCCACACCGCUUCACUGCAUUGUCGUCGCAGCUGUGCAUCUCAGACCACCCCAAAACCUGGUCGACGACAGAGACCGGAGUUGAAAACGAGUAGUUUCAUUUAACUUGCUUUUUUAUUGAACUCUAGUAGUUUUAUUUAGGUUGUUGUCGAGUUAUCUAGCAUGACUUCUUCUAUCGUUACUCUUGCGGGUAAGUCAUGUUGUAACUUGUAAUUGCUAUUUUUCGUUUGAAUGUUAAAGUCCAUGUUUCAAAAAAAAAAAUAUUGCACUAUUACUUAGCUUCACUGAUCUGAAACAAAUUAAUGGUUGAAAUGUGUAUGGAAUUUCGUAUUAGAUGCAUGGGGCUCUCAUCUUUGUUAUGGUCAUAUUAUAUAAUACGCGUGCAUGCUUACAACAACACUGUUAUAUAUUCGUUAGACUCAUAUUUAAUUAUAGGAAAUUGUGGGUACAGUGCUUAGUUUGCUAAUGGGGCACUCACUAGUAGAUAGUAGAUACCAUUCCAAAAUUAGUACACCAAACUUCUAUGCCACAAAAACAUGGGUUUCCUAAUGGAUAUUGACGUAGAAACAAACCACUAACUGUUAAAGGUUAAGGCCACUAACCUCUAUAUAAGAAUUAAUCAAGCUAGUGACUUUAGUUGGUUGUUCUAAAUUACAUAUAAGGUGAUAAGGCAUUGACAUUAUACAUAUAUCGUAUCCGUGAUGAAUAUAUAUAUAUAUAUAUAGAACUUUUCUCAGAUGAGGACGUCCGCACCAUUUUACUGUGCGGAUUUUCGUCCGUUCGUCACCGUACAGCGCUGGCGAGGGAGCGCCUCCACCCCAGCCGACUCCAGCAGCUUCCCCGACCACUUUUCAUCCCCGGUGAGUCCGCCAAAUUCCAGUUUUCCGGCCAGAUUGACGUUGUUUGAAGUUUUGGGUGAUCUGGCCGUUAAACUGGAAUUUAGAGGACUCGCCGGGGAUGGAAAGUGGUCGGGGAAGCUGCUGGAGUCCGCUGGGGUGGAGACGCGCCCUCGCGCGGUGCCAUAAGGUGGCUAACGGACGAAAAUUUGCUCCGCACCGUUUUACGGUGUGGAUGUCCGUAGCAGAGACGGACUGUAUAUAUAUAUAUAUACACACACACACACAAGCUUUCUCAGGUAAGGAUGUCCUUAUUUAUUCUUACGGUGCAGAUUUCCACUUUAGACUCACUUUUCAAUCGAAUUUUCAUAUCUCCACCGUCUAGUUUUUAUAUAUUAAUGUAUAGAUCAUCUCUGCAAAAUUUCAGCAAAUUUGGUUAUCAUUAAAGCACUCAAAUUCGAUUAGACCAAUGGACAAACAAAAUUCUGUCAAACUUGAAUCGUUCAUGUUUAUAAUAGAAAAACGCAGUUUUGAGUGUCUUAAUGAUAACCAAAUUGGCUGAAAUUUUGCAGAGAUGAUCUAUACAUUAGUAUCUAAAAACUAGACGGUGGAGAUGUGAAAAUUUGAUUGAAAAGUGAGUAUAAAGUGGAAAUUUGCACCGUAAGAAUAAAUAAGGACCUCCUUAGCCAAAAAAGUAAUGUGUAUAUAUAUAUAUAUUCAUUUCGGAGCGGGACACCGCUUUGAAAUUAAAGUGUGGUGCUCCUUAUUUCGCUCACUUUUAGGUCAUAUUUUCACAUCUCCACCGUUCAGUGUCUAGAACAUAGUGUGUAGAUCAAUCCUGCAAAGUUUCAUCCAAUUUAGAGAUCAUUUGGGUACCGAAUUAGAAUAAAUGAAUCAACUGAACAAAAUCUGUCCAAACAGAACCGUUCGUGUAAAUCACAAUUACGGAAGCUCAAAUGAUCUCCAAAUUGGAUAAAACUUUGCAUGAAUGAUCUACACACUAUGUUCUAGACACUGAACGAUGAAGAUGUGAAAAUGUGACCUAAAAAUGAGCGAAAUGAGGAGCACCACACUUUAAUUUCAAAGCGGUGGUGUCCCACUCUGGAGGGAAUUGUGUGUGUGUGUGUGUGUGUGCAAUUCUUAUCUAGAGCGAAGCUUCGCUUUGAAAUAAAGUGUGAAGUUCAUUAUUAUUUGACUCACUUUUCGAUCAUAUUUUCACAUCUCCACCGUUAAAUUAGAUCAUUUCUACAAAGUUAGAUCAUUUCUACAACGAUUCAUCUGAUUUGAGGAUCUUUUGGGUUUUCAUAAUCGUUAUUUACACAAACAGUUCUGGUUAGACAGAUUUACAGUCCGUUCUUGAUUUAAUCUAAUUCGAUACACAAACGAUCAUCAAUUCAGAUGAAAUUUUACAUGAAUGAUCUAUACAUUAGUAUCAAUAAACUAAACGGUGGAGAUGUGAAAAUAUGAUCGAAAAAUGAGUCAAAUAAGGAAUUUCACACUUUAAUUUCAUAGAAGAACUGUAAUAUAUAUAUAUAUAUAUAUGUGUGUGUGUGUAUACAAUUAUUAUCAGGUCCAAAUAUCCUUAUUUAUUCAAAAUGUCCAAAUAUCCUUAUAUAUAUGGUUCAUGUUGAACAUUUUCAAUUCGUUCAUUAAUUUAAUUCAUUUUUGAUAUCUUAAUGAUCUCCAAAUUAGCUGAAAAUUUGUAGAGAUAAUCUACUAUUUGAACGGUUAAGAUGAGAAAAUAUGAUCGAAAAGUGGGUCAAAUUAAGAAAUUCCGUACUUUUUGAAUAAAUAAGGAUGUUUGUAUCUGAAAAGACACACACACACACAGUUCCCUUCCACAACAUCUCACACCCUCCAUGUGCCAUUCCACGAUACUUUGCUUCAGGACUAGAGCGAGCUGCCACCUUUUGCUUCUUCCAAGUAAUCAAAUUACCACCUAUAAAAGUGAAGUAGCCCGAAGUAGACCUGUGAUCUAUAAUAUCACAUGCCCAGUCUGUGACUGUGUACCCAAAAGCAUCGACGUGACAGUGUUUUGAAAAGAUUAAUCCCUUCCGUGAGCCAUUCCACGAGCCAUCCAUGAGCCAUUUCACGAUACUCUGCUUCAGGACUAGAGCGAGCUGCCACCUUUUGCUUCUUCCAAGUAAUCAAAUUACCACCUAUAAAAGUGAAGUAGCCCGAAGUAGAUCUGCGAUAUGUAAUAUUACAUGCCCAGUCUAUGACUAUGUACCUAAAAACAUCCAAGUGACAGUGUUUUGAAAAAAUUAAUCCCUUCCAUGGAGCAGAAUUCAAAUACCGCAAAAUACAAAAUAUAGCUUCCAUAUGAGCCUCCCUGGGAUUAUGCAUAAACUUAUUCACCACACUAACUGCAUAACCUAAAUCUAGUUUAGUAUGGGACAAAUAAAUCAACCGUCCAACUAACCUCUGGUAUCUUGCAUUAUUUGUAGGUACUUGAUCCAAAUACUCUGCUAAGUGAUGGUUAUGCUCAAUAUGAUACAGGUUUACAAUCAAGCAUACAUGCAUGUUUCCGCCAACAAGUCCAACACAUACUUCCUCGGACUCAACACAAUACACAAUCUUUCCCAUGAGCAACUUCAAUUCUCAAGAAAUAUUUCAAGUUACCCAAAUCUUUCAUCUCAAAUUCUGAAGAUAAUUGAACUUAACCUCUGAAUCUCCUCAUCAACGUCAUGAUCUACCAUAACCAUGUCAUCAACAUAGAUAAUUAAGACAGUCAUUUUACCACAUCGAUGUUUGAGGAACAAGGUGUGAUAUGAAUUGCUCUAUCAGUACAAAAUUUUCUUCCUGAACUUGGUGAACCGGCCAAACCAAGCUCUGGGAGGCUGUUUCAAACCAUAAAGAGACUUCUUCAAUUUGCACACCACCUGCUCUCCAGUUGAAGUAUCAUAUCUAGGAUGCGAAUUCAUACAAACCUCUUUAGGCAGAUUACCAUGCAAGAAUGCAUUCUUAACAUCAAAUUGUUGCAAAGGGCAAUCAAGAUUAGGGCGCAACUAAUGAAAGAAGCACUCGAAAAUAGUAUUAAUUUUGGCUAUGGUGCAAAUAUCUCAUCAUAGUCCACUCUAUACUUCUGAGUAUAGCCUUUAGCUACUAAUCUUGCCUUGUACUUGUCCAUCGAACCAUCUAAAUUAUGCUUCACUGUAUAUACCCACCUACAACCAACUAUCUUCUUCCCAUAUGGCACCAAGACGACAACUUAGACUGAGCUGAGUGAAUAGAUACAUAAUAUACAACACGACCUAUGUUUAACAAGUGACGAUUUCUCCUUUCAGAGACCCCAUUAUGUUCUGGUUUUUGUGAACAAGUGGUUUGAUGAAUAAUCCCAUGAGAUUGGAAAUAAUCACGAACCAUGCGGUUCAUGAAUUCCCCUCCAUUAUCAGACCAAAAUAUUUUAAUACAAGCAUCAUACUGGGUACAGACAAGAUUGUGGAAAGCUGUAAAGUCAGAGACGACGUACUCCAUCUUUUGUCUUAAGCAAAACAACCCAAGUUAAUCUUGUGAAAUCAUCAAUAAAUAGAACAAAGUAAUUCAUACCUAAAAGGAUAGAAUUUUUUAAAGGUCCUCAUAAAUCUAAAUGAAUUAACUCAAAAGGUCGUGAACUUGAGUGAAAACUCAAAGGAUAAUUAGAUCGAUGACUCUUAGAUAGGGCACAAGUCUCACAAUGUAGGCAAUAAUCACUUAUCCCAUAAAACAUAGAGGGCAUGAACUUCUUUAUGACACCAAAGGAUAGAUGACCCAAACGUGGAUGCCACAACCAAACAUCAUCAUCCAAUCGGAAUUCACUGUCAAGGCAACUGGACCUUGCAAUGCUUGUGUUUGUCCUUCGUACAUGCAAUCCAAGUGAAAUAGUCUCCCCUCAGGUCUCAUUUCCCCAUAUUUCCUGAGUGCACAUAUCCCGAAAAAUAACAUACAAAGGACAAAACACUUGUUUUGUGAGUUUAACUGAGACACAAAGAAGAGAUGGUGAGACAAAGAAGGUACAUAGAGGACAUAUGAAGAAUGAUAGAAGGUGCAACUUGAACUGACCCAAUACCUAAAAUUGAAAAAGACUCACAAUUGACAUUAGAAACAUGUUUUAUAGAGGAGAGGACAAUGUGACAAACAAUGACUUAUCAUAAGUCAUAUAUUCAUACGCGCUAAAAUCAAUUAUCCAUUUGUUACUUUCAUAAAGCCAAAAACAUUUAAAGCAAUACCAAAUUUACCUCGAGUUUUCUUUGUCACGGGUACACCAUAGAAAUCCGGUUCUUGUUUGCUAAAACUUUAGAUAAGUUUAGAUGGAAUAGGCAUAAAUUAUGUCAUCUUAUAUUCAAAUAAACAAUUUCUUAGAGUAUUUGACGAAAUGAGAAGUGAGGUGCCAGAAUUUGUACUAAAUGGACGUUGCCUCAAAAAGAAUUGAGAUGAACCAAAUCGACAACUCAGAGUUUUUGUGUUUUUGUUUUUUGAACUAAACAUUGUUUACUCGCUAUACUUACAAUGUCUCGAAAUUUCGGUCCCUUACGUUUCAAUUUCACCUAUUUAGUCCUUAUGCUCUUGAUUUUCAACCGGUAGUUCCAUUCUAUCCAAAAUCCGUUUAUGUUGCCGUUAAGUUGUGACGUGACGUGACGUGACGUUUAUUUUAUGCUGAAAUGUCUAUUUUACCUCAAAAUAUAUAUUUUUUAUUUUCUUUGUUUUUUUUCCUUUUACCUCUUCUUUUUCAGACAUACCGAUCGAAAAUCAAGAGUACAAAGACUAAAUAUAUGAAAUUGAAACAUGAAGGUUCAGAACCAAAAAAAAAAAAA
rnacentral:lncRNA from 1 species